GCAGUAGCCGCGGUAAUACGUAGGGUGCAAGCGUUAAUCGGAAUUACUGGGCGUAAAGCGUGCGCAGGCGGUUCGCUAAGACAGAUGUGAAAUCCCCGGGCUUAACCUGGGAACUGCAUUUGUGACUGGCGGGCUAGAGUAUGGCAGAGGGGGGUAGAAUUCCACGUGUAGCAGUGAAAUGCGUAGAGAUGUGGAGGAAUACCGAUGGCGAAGGCAGCCCCCUGGGCCAAUACUGACGCUCAUGCACGAAAGCGUGGGGAGCAAACAGGAUUAGAUACCCCUGUAGUCCCUGUCUCUUAUAC
rnacentral:rRNA from 1 species